rnacentral:lncRNA from 1 species
UUUAUUAUACGAAAAUCUUUGUGUGAAAUUUGCACAAAUCCUCUUAUUCCUCAUGUGGUAAUAUUUUCCUAAAAGGGUAAUAAGACACAUGCAUGUAAUCUAAGUGGAGAACUAAUUAAAUGAAUUCAUUAAAUUAUCUAAGAGUUCACAUGAUAUACUUUAUUUAUGUAUUAAGUACUCACUAGAAAUUCUAGUUACACCCAAAUAAAAAUAAUAAUUACACCCUAAAGAGACAACAUUACAUUUAAAAUAAAAUUCUAGUUUUAUUU